CAUUGAGAAGCUGUAGCUAGCGACAGCCUUUUAAGCUGUAGACAGGUGAUUCCAACCGCCCUUAAUGA
rnacentral:tRNA from 1 species